rnacentral:rRNA from 1 species
UUUGUAGAAUGAACCGGCGAGUUACGAUUGCAUGCGAGGUUAAGUCGAAGAGACGGAGCCGCAGCGAAAGCGAGUCUGAAUAGGGCGAAUGAGUAUGUAGUCGUAGACCCGAAACCAUGUGAUCUACCCAUGUCCAGGUUGAAGGUGCGGUAAAACGCACUGGAGGACCGAACCCACGUACGUUGAAAAGUGCGGGGAUGAGGUGUGGGUAGCGGAGAAAUUCCAAACGAACUUGGAGAUAGCUGGUUCUCUCCGAAAUAGCUUUAGGGCUAGCCUCGGAAUUGAGAAUGAUGGAGGUAGAGCACUGUUUGGACUAGGGGCCCAUCUCGGGUUACCGAAUUCAGAUAAACUCCGAAUGCCAUUCAUUCAUAUCCGGGAGUCAGACUGUGAGUGAUAAGAUCCAUAGUCGAAAGGGAAACAGCCCAGACCACCAGCUAAGGUCCCCAAA